GAUGAACGCUGGCGGCGUGCCUAAUACAUGCAAGUCGAGCGAACAGAUGAGAAGCUUGCUUCUCUGAUGUUAGCGGCGGACGGGUGAGUAACACGUGGGUAACCUACCUAUAAGACUGGGAUAACUCCGGGAAACCGGGGCUAAUACCGGAUAAUAUUUUGAACCGCAUGGUUCAGUAGUGAAAGACGGUUUCGGCUGUCACUUAUAGAUGGACCCGCGCCGUAUUAGCUAGUUGGUAAGGUAACGGCUUACCAAGGCGACGAUACGUAGCCGACCUGAGAGGGUGAUCGGCCACACUGGAACUGAGACACGGUCCAGACUCCUACGGGAGGCAGCAGUAGGGAAUCUUCCGCAAUGGGCGAAAGCCUGGCGGAGCAACGCCGCGUGAGUGAUGAAGGUCUUCGGAUCGUAAAACUCUGUUGUUAGGGAAGAACAAAUUUGUUAGUAACUGAACAAGUCUUGACGGUACCUAACCAGAAAGCCACGGCUAACUACGUGCCAGCAGCCGCAGUAA
rnacentral:rRNA from 1 species